rnacentral:rRNA from 1 species
UGCGCAGGCGGAAUAAUAAGUCAGUGGUGAAAUCUCCCGGCUCAACCGGGAAACUGCCAUUGAUACUGUUGUUCUUGAGUACAGUUGAAGUGGGCGGAAUGUGUCAUGUAGCGGUGAAAUGCUUAGAUAUGACACAGAACACCGAUAGCGAAGGCAGCUCACUAAGCUGUAACUGACGCUCAUGCACGAAAGCGUGGGGAUCAAACAGGAUUAGAUACCCUGGUAGUCC